AAGAUAAAGGAUUUGGUGAAAUAAGAUAAAUAUACAUAUACAUAUAUAUAUAUUUAUAUAUACACAUACAUAUAUAUAUAUAUAUGUGUGUGUGUGUGUAUAUGUAAAGGAAGAUAAAUCAGGGAAGAGCUUGGAAAGUAAGGGAUGGUGGUGGGGGGUUAGUCUCGAAGCGUGCGUUGGUUAGUAGAAAGCUACGCGUCAGAGCUCAGUUCGUUUGCGACGCUCGUGUCGUUCGCGUCUCUCUCUCUCUUUCUCUCUCUUUUUCUCUCGUGUAUUAUUUAUUAACUAUUUGAAAUUUCGUGAUCGUAUAAAAACGUGUCCAAUGAUUAUUCAGACAGUUGAAGACGUACUUCUAAUGUAAACAAACAAGUAUUUACGUCGAAUGUGUAUAAUUUUGGUGACACGAACGAUCAUUUCAUUUGAUCGAUUCUCGCGGACACCGUGGGAAAUGUUCGAAGGUGAGAAGAAGGAUCGAAGAAGUAAGAACGAAGUGCAGCCGGUGAUCGAGGAUCAACGUGGAUCUAUGUGGAUAGGACGAGAUCGAGGAAGAAGACGAGAAUAUAGAAAAUAGAUAGACGAAUAAAAAGAGAAACGGAGCUAACGAAGAGAAAAGAGAGAUAUUAUAGAUAGACUGAGAGAAAACAUAGGAUAUUUUUUAUCUGUUUCUUUCUUUCUUUCUUCCUUUCUUCCUUUUUUUUCCUUCCUUCGUUUU